CCUACGGGGGGCAGCAGUGGGGAAUAUUGGACAAUGGGGGCAACCCUGAUCCAGCCAUGCCGCGUGUGUGAAGAAGGCCCUCGGGUUGUAAAGCACUUUCAGUGAGGAAGAACGCCUGGUGGUUAAUACCCAUCAGGAAAGACAUCACUCACAGUAGAAGCACCGGCUAACUCCGUGCCAGCAGCCGCGGUAAUACGGAGGGUGCGAGCGUUAAUCGGAAUUACUGGGCGUAAAGCGCGCGUAGGUGGCUUGAUAAGCCGGUUGUGAAAGCCCCGGGCUCAACCUGGGAACGGCAUCCGGAACUGUCAAGCUAGAGUGCAGGAGAGGAAGGUAGAAUUCCCGGUGUAGCGGUGAAAUGCGUAGAGAUCGGGAGGAAUACCAGUGGCGAAGGCGGCCUUCUGGACUGACACUGACACUGAGGUGCGAAAGCGUGGGUAGCAAACAGGAUUAGAUACCCUGGUAGUC
rnacentral:rRNA from 1 species